GUGAAGCCAUUUUCUCUCACUUGUGACUGUCGUCUGCGUCUGGUCGGUUGCGAUGGCCUGCCCUUGCUUCUGGAGACUGUUACAUGCCAUGCCAGAGAAACGCAAUAUAUACAGCCCUUGAUCCGUAAUAACCAAGAGAACAUUUACGUCUGCUACAUGUCGGAAGCAACUAAAGGAAACCGUAUAAGAAAUGUGAAGAAUGAAAGAUGAAGAUCCUGCUUCCCAGACGUGGUCCUACCCACAACAAGGAAAUCGAGAGGACCCCUCGAGGAUACAGAAAGGACAAAUAACAUACCAGAAUGAAUUCGGCGCGAUCCAUCAUUCGUCGGACGAUGAAAACUGCGUCUAACCCGGAUCUCCGUCUCCAUUCCGCUCCCGACCAAUCGGAGGUGAAGUUUGUCCGGCAUGUCAAUGGAGCGCUUGUGCCUGACAUCGUUACUUUCCAAGAAAGGAAACCACGCAGAAUGUUUCUGGGACACCUACCUGAGCUGCCUCCGUGAGCAGGAAAGGCGUCACACAGCGACACGAGCGUCACGACCAUCGCAGCGAA